AUUGAACGCUGGCGGCAUGCCUUACACAUGCAAGUCGAACGGUAACAGGCCGCAAGGUGCUGACGAGUGGCGAACGGGUGAGUAAUACAUCGGAACGUGCCCGAGAGUGGGGGAUAACGGAGCGAAAGCUUUGCUAAUACCGCAUACGAUCUACGGAUGAAAGCAGGGGACCGCAAGGCCUUGCGCUCAUGGAGCGGCCGAUGGCAGAUUAGGUAGUUGGUGGGAUAAAAGCUUACCAAGCCGACGAUCUGUAGCUGGUCUGAGAGGACGACCAGCCACACUGGGACUGAGACACGGCCCAGACUCCUACGGGAGGCAGCAGUGGGGAAUUUUGGACAAUGGACGCAAGUCUGAUCCAGCCAUUCCGCGUGCAGGAUGAAGGCCCUCGGGUUGUAAACUGCUUUUGUACGGAACGAAAAGGUUUCUAUUAAUACUAGGAGCUCAUGACGGUACCGUAAGAAUAAGCACCGGCUAACUACGUGCCAGCAG
rnacentral:rRNA from 1 species